rnacentral:misc_RNA from 1 species
UUUCCGUAGGUGAACCUGCGGAAGGAUCAUUGUCGAAAGCCCAUUGAAUGUCGGUGGACAUGCGGACUUGUCGCUACAUAUACGGGGGGUGUGGCCCGGUCACUAACCUUUGGUUGAUGGGGAUGUGUUCGGGACAGCCCAUGUAAACCGUGUUCUAACACUUCAAUCGGCAGAGAGCCCGCCAAGGAAGCUAUAUAAGAAAGUCUCACCCUCCACCCCCACAUCGCAUGGCGUGCAUGUGGGAGUCGGGGAGGUGGAUCGCGCAAUCGCGACGUUAAGGACUCUCGACAAUGGAUAUCUCGACUCUCGUAUCUAUGAAGAACGCAGCGAAAUGCGAUACGUGGUGCGAAUUGCAGAAUCUCGUGAAUCAUUGAGUUUUUGAACGCAAGUUGCGCCCGAAGCCAUUUUUUGGUUGGGGGCACGCCUGCCUGGGUGCCAUGCAUGGAGUUAUCCCGGGGCCUCCUCCGGGAGGGGACUCGUUUAUGUUGUUGGCUUCCUUGAGGGAGGGGACCAUUGGGGUGGAUGCUGGCCUUCCGUUCCAUGUUGUUCGGUUGGUUUAAAUUCGGGGUCCCAAUGCGACUUGCGCCGCGAUGAGUUGGGGGAAGACAAUGUUCGUCCCUUGUCGGUUGGUGAGCCACCUUCGGUCCCAUGGCCACGUUGACACUUUGAUGGGGUAGCCGUCCAGGCCCC